rnacentral:lncRNA from 1 species
GGGUGUUGAGUUCGUUGUCGUCCAUGAACUCCUUCGUGUACAGCCCUAGUGCAAUUCCAAACUUUGGUACGCUCAACUAGCGCACUAGACCACCAAGGCGGAACUGGACCGUUCUAGGAUCGUCGAAGUUUGUCAUGACAACUUGAAGAUGGAAGGUCGAGCAGAAUUCCAUCGUGAACUCGAGGUAUGUCGGCUCGAUGAUCACAAAG